GGCAGGACGUGGUUGGCCCGUGGAGUAUUUGGAGGGGGAAGGGCGGGGUUGCCGGGUCCUUUGCUUGUCCAGCUGCAGAGCGGGGCAGGGGAUGGAGGCCGGGGGCCCCCAGGCGGGGCUGAGAGGCUUUGAAGAGACCGUGGCUGAGCUGUCCCAGGAGCUGGGAAGACUGGCCCAGAACCUGCAGGCACUGACCCAGUACCAGGCCACCCUCCUCAGCGUCAACAAGAGCCUGUGCUCAUGGAUGGAGAACAUCAAUGAAUUAUCCAAGCAUCGGAAAUGUCUUCCCAUAUUUGCAGCCCCUGGAAAGUGAGCUGGGAAUUGUCUGGUUGAUUGCACAGUGCCCAUAGCAGAGAAUCUCUGAACUUAUUUUGGUCCCUGUGAUAAGGGAAGGGAGCAAAUCCCUCUGAGUCUUCAGUGAGCCCCAUGGAAACUGUGUUAUUGGCUGAAUAAACAGAACAAUACCCCAUUAAACUGGGUUGGUUACUUUUUAAAAAAAUAGUUAUGUGAGAAUUCCAAGCUGUGGCUGAAUGCCAGCUGCAGCGGGUGAGCUGGGCCUUGUUUCCUCCGACUCAAGGGCCCUGUAGCUUCCACUGUUUCUAAGGCAUCUCAGAAUGGUGCCUGGUGCCUCCUCCACAGGCAGAAGCAGCCACUGUGGGAAGGUGACAGCCCUGAGUGCUCUGCCUGCCCCUUUGUCUUUAUUUACAAUCUGGUUUGCUUCUUCCCCCAAAGAGGGCGGGUUCCUGAAGGAAAGGCUCAUCAGGGAGGACCCAAUGGCAAUACUGGGUUCUCCUUGCUGUUCAGUGGGAAGUCCAUGCUCAUUUCUCAUCAUUUGGAUUAGGUUUUCUCUGUCUGGAUACUAGUGUUGGCCACGUCUCAACAUCAUUUCUGUUGUACAGGUUU